rnacentral:rRNA from 1 species
CCUACGGGGGGCAGCAGUCGAGAAUCAUUCACAAUGGGGGAAACCCUGAUGGUGCGACGCCGCGUGGGGGAAUGAAGGUCUUCGGAUUGUAAACCCCUGUCAUGUGGGAGCAAAUUAAAAAGAUAGUACCACAAGAGGAAGAGACGGCUAACUCUGUGCCAGCAGCCGCGGUAAUACAGAGGUCUCAAGCGUUGUUCGGAAUCACUGGGCGUAAAGCGUGCGUAGGCUGUUUCGUAAGUCGUGUGUGAAAGGCGCGGGCUCAACCCGCGGACGGCACAUGAUACUGCGAGACUAGAGUAAGGGAGGGGGAACCGGAAUUCUCGGUGUAGCAGUGAAAUGCGUAGAUAUCGAGAGGAACACUCGUGGCGAAGGCGGGUUCCUGGACAGUAACUGACGCUGAGGCACGAAGGCCAGGGGAGCGAAAGGGAUUAGAUACCCCAGUAGUC